GAUGAACGCUGGCGGCGUGCCUAAUACAUGCAAGUCGAGCGAACGGACGAGAAGCUUGCUUCUCUGAUGUUAGCGGCGGACGGGUGAGUAACACGUGGAUAACCUACCUAUAAGACUGGGAUAACUUCGGGAAACCGGAGCUAAUACCGGAUAAUAUUUUGAACCGCAUGGUUCAAAAGUGAAAGACGGUCUUGCUGUCACUUAUAGAUGGAUCCGCGCUGCAUUAGCUAGUUGGUAAGGUAACGGCUUACCAAGGCAACGAUGCAUAGCCGACCUGAGAGGGUGAUCGGCCACACUGGAACUGAGACACGGUCCAGACUCCUACGGGAGGCAGCAGUAGGGAAUCUUCCGCAAUGGGCGAAAGCCUGACGGAGCAACGCCGCGUGAGUGAUGAAGGUCUUCGGAUCGUAAAACUCUGUUAUUAGGGAAGAACAUAUGUGUAAGUAACUGUGCACAUCUUGACGGUACCUAAUCAGAAAGCCACGGCUAACUACGUGCCAGCAGCCGCGGUAAUACGUAGGUGGCAAGCGUUAUCCGGAAUUAUUGGGCGUAAAGCGCGCGUAGGCGGUUUUUUAGUCUGAUGUGAAAGCCCACGGCUCAACCGUGGAGGGUCAUUGGAAACUGGAAAACUUGAGUGCAGAAGAGGAAAGUGGAGUUCCAUGUGUAGCGGUGAAAUGCGCAGAGAUAUGGAGGAACACCAGUGGCGAAGGCGACUUUCUGGUCUGUAACUGACGCUGAUGUGCGAAAGCGUGGGGAUCAAACAGGAUUAGAUACCCUGGUAGUCCACGCCGUAAACGAUGAGUGCUAAGUGUUAGGGGGUUUCCGCCCCUUAGUGCUGCAGCUAACGCAUUAAGCACUCCGCCUGGGGAGUACGACCGCAAGGUUGAAACUCAAAGGAAUUGACGGGGACCCGCACAAGCGGUGGAGCAUGUGGUUUAAUUCGAAGCAACGCGAAGAACCUUACCAAAUCUUGACAUCCUUUGACAACUCUAGAGAUAGAGCUUUCCCCUUCGGGGGACAAAGUGACAGGUGGUGCAUGGUUGUCGUCAGCUCGUGUCGUGAGAUGUUGGGUUAAGUCCCGCAACGAGCGCAACCCUUAAGCUUAGUUGCCAUCAUUAAGUUGGGCACUCUAAGUUGACUGCCGGUGACAAACCGGAGGAAGGUGGGGAUGACGUCAAAUCAUCAUGCCCCUUAUGAUUUGGGCUACACACGUGCUACAAUGGACAAUACAAAGGGCAGCGAAACCGCGAGGUCAAGCAAAUCCCAUAAAGUUGUUCUCAGUUCGGAUUGUAGUCUGCAACUCGACUACAUGAAGCUGGAAUCGCUAGUAAUCGUAGAUCAGCAUGCUACGGUGAAUACGUUCCCGGGUCU
rnacentral:rRNA from 1 species